GACGAACGCUGGCGGCGUGCUUAACACAUGCAAGUCGAACGGUAAGGCUCCAGCUUGCUGGGGUACACGAGUGGCGAACGGGUGAGUAACACGUGGGUGACCUGCCCUGCACUUCGGGAUAAGCCUGGGAAACUGGGUCUAAUACCGGAUAGGACCAUGGUGUGGAUACUGUGGUGGAAAGUUUUUUCGGUGUGGGAUGGGCCCGCGGCCUAUCAGCUUGUUGGUGGGGUAAUGGCCUACCAAGGCGGCGACGGGUAGCCGGCCUGAGAGGGUGGACGGCCACAUUGGGACUGAGACACGGCCCAGACUCCUACGGGAGGCAGCAGUGGGGAAUAUUGCACAAUGGGCGGAAGCCUGAUGCAGCGGCGCCGCGUGGGGGAUGACGGCCUUCGGGUUGUAAACUCAUUUCACCAUCGACGAAGGGUUUCUGACGGUAGAUGGAGAAGAAGCACCGGCUAACUACGUG
rnacentral:rRNA from 1 species